UAUCAGUUGAUCGAAUCCUUCUCUGCAGCACGUCUCCAAUGAAUGUCCUGCAACAUGUCACUUACAACUCAGAGAACAGCAUGAAGAAUGUCCUUGUUCUUAUAAAGGAUGGGAUUCAUUGCUUAGUACCAACAGAUGGCAAGACCCUCGGGGUUGAUGAUAAGACCAAUGAUUUUUUUGAAUUUGUAUCUUAGUAUUUUUCUGAUGUGAAAAUAUAGUACCCAAUAGUACUAUAGAAUGUUAUGUAAUAAUAUUUCUUCAAUUCUUAUACAAGUUGUUGUACGAGGAUCAUUGGCAAAUAUAUCAAUCAUAUUGAAGAGAUACAUAUA